rnacentral:lncRNA from 1 species
GCUGUCUGGGUAACGGGGUCUGCAGCGGAGCCGCGAUGGAUGUGGAGGAGGUGAAAGCGUUCAGAGACCGCUGUUCUCAGUGUGCUGCUGUCUCCUGGGGCCUUACCAAAGAAGGCAAAUAUUACUGUACUUCCUGACACAGAUGCAGCGAUCUGAGGAAGUGGUGAGCGCUGCAGAUAUCCCCAACACCAAGAUCAACUCCAUCAACAGGGGGCUGAGACAGAGAAGCAAGCAUGAGAAAGGCUGGGAUUGGUAUGUGUGUGAAGGUUUCCAGUGCAUACUUUAUCACCAAGCAAAAGCCCUGGAGACCCUCGGAGUAAGCCCAGAACUAAAGGAUGAAGUCUUACACAAUUUUUGGAAGCGCUACCUUCAGAAGAGCAAGCAGGCCUAUUGUAAAAACCCAGUUCGUACAAGUGGAAGGAAAGCCAAAGUGAGCCCUGGACCCUGACAUGAGACACUAAAAUUCACUUUGUGUGGCAGAAAGACAAAGGCGUUUUUUUUUUUUUUUUUUUUUUUUGUGACUGCUUGAGUUUGACUGUGGUGCUUGCCUGUAGAUUUUCAGGGAGGAGGCUCCUGGUGCAAUCCAGAAUGAUCUAGACUUUACAGUGAAUUGUGGCCAUUUAUUAAACUAGUUGUAAC